rnacentral:rRNA from 1 species
GACGAACGCUGGCGGCGUGCUUAACACAUGCAAGUCGAACGGAAAGGCCCUGCUUUUGUGGGGUGCUCGAGUGGCGAACGGGUGAGUAACACGUGAGUAACCUGCCCUUGACUUUGGGAUAACUUCAGGAAACUGGGGCUAAUACCGGAUAGGAGCUCCUGCUGCAUGGUGGGGGUUGGAAAGUUUCGGCGGUUGGGGAUGGACGCGCGGCUUAUCAGCGUGUUGGUGGGGUAGUGGCUUACCAAGGCUUUGACGGGUAGCCGGCCUGAGAGGGUGACCGGCCACAUUGGGACUGAGAUACGGCCCAGACUCCUACGGGAGGCAGCAGUGGGGAAUAUUGCACAAUGGGCGGAAGCCUGAUGCAGCAACGCCGCGUGCGGGAUGACGGCCUUCGGGUUGUAAACCGCUUUCGCCUGUGACGAAGCGUGAGUGACGGUAAUGGGUAAAGAAGCACCGGCUAACUACGUG